AACAGGGAUUGCCUUAGUAACGGCGAGUGAAGCGGCAACAGCUCAAAUUUGAAAUCUGGCCUAUGGUCCGAGUUGUAAUUUGCAGAGGAUGCUUCGGGCGCGGUGCCUUCCAAGUCCCCUGGAACGGGGCGCCGGAGAGGGUGAGAGCCCCGUACGGUUGGCGGCCAAGCCUGUGUGAAGCUCCUUCGACGAGUCGAGUAGUUUGGGAAUGCUGCUCUAAGCGGGAGGUAGACCCCUUCUAAAGCUAAAUACCGGCCAGAGACCGAUAGCGCACAAGUAGAGUGAUCGAAAGAUGAAAAGCACUUUGAAAAGAGGGUUAAACAGCACGUGAAAUUGUUGAAAGGGAAGCGCUUGUGACCAGACGUGCGCCGGGGUGUUCAGCGGGCGUUCUCGCCCGUGCACUCGCCUCGGUGCAGGCCAGCGUCGGUUUGGGUGGGGGGAUAAAGGCGUCUGGAAUGUGGCUCCUCCGGGAGUGUUAUAGCCAGACGUGCCAUGCCUCCGCCUGGACCGAGGUACGCGUUCUGCAAGGACGCUGGCGUAAUGGUCUCCAGCGACCCGUCUUGAAACACGGACCAAGGAGUCGAGGUUUUGCGCGAGUGUUUGGGUGGAAAACCCGCACGCGUAAUGAAAGUGAACGUAGGUGAGAGCUUCGGCGCAUCACCGACCGAUCCUGAUGUUUUCGGAUGGAUUUGAGUAAGAGCGUAGGGCCUCGGACCCGAAAGAUGGUGAACUAUGCUUGGAUAGGGUGAAGCCAGAGGAAACUCUGGUGGAGGCUCGCAGCGGUUCUGACGUGCAAAUCGAUCGUCAAAUCUGAGCAUGGGGGCGAAAGACUAAUCGAACCAUCUAGUAGCUGGUUACCGCCGAAGUUUCCCUCAGGAUAGCAGUGUUGUUCUUCAGUUUUAUGAGGUAAAGCGAAUGAUUAGGGACUCGGGGGCGCUAUUUAGCCUUCAUCCAUUCUCAAACUUUAAAUAUGUAAGAAGCCCUUGUUGCU
rnacentral:rRNA from 1 species